rnacentral:rRNA from 1 species
UACGAAGGGGGCUAGCGUUGCUCGGAAUUACUGGGCGUAAAGGGAGCGUAGGCGGAUAGUUUAGUCAGAGGUGAAAGCCCAGGGCUCAACCUUGGAAUUGCCUUUGAUACUGGCUAUCUUGAGUGUGGGAGAGGUGAGUGGAACUCCGAGUGUAGAGGUGAAAUUCGUAGAUAUUUAGGGGAACACCAAAAGCGAAGGCAAUUCACUGGCGCAUUCCUGACGCUGAAACACGAAAGCGUGGGUAGCGAAUGGG